GGAACCUCUCUCCCUGUCUCUGGAUAGAAGUACCUCUAUUCCUGAUUUUUCCAAUUGUGUGUUCUACCUGGACUCCUGUGAUCAUAUCAUCGAACAAAAGGACUUAAAAAAAGCAGUUUGAACUGUAAGGCCAGUCUUUAGGUCUGAAGGACAAUAGUCUCUGCCUGGAAAGGGUGUGGUGGUGGAAUAAAAGACUCUUUAAUAGCUGGUCAAAGUGCUGAAAUUAUACAUGGAGAGAGGCUUAUUCAAGGAAAAGAAAGGCAGAGGAUUGACAGACAUUUUUGGAGCACAUGACAAAUGGGUCAAAAAACUACAGAAAUACUUUUGGAAAAAGCAAACACCGCCCAACAUUAGUAAAUGCAGAUAACAAGUAUAUUCCACUGGAUUUCUCCAAAGUAGCCAGAAGCGGUUUACUUCUGGAUGGAAUCUAUGAAAUGACUGAGAUCAUAGACUGACAGACAUCAAAAGCACAAAUGACAUCGCAUAAAAGGCACCAACAAUCUUAACAAUGAAACUUCAAAAAAUUGGGUGAGUCAUGUAGUUUUUCAUAGU